rnacentral:rRNA from 1 species
AACGAACGCUGGCGGCAUGCCUAACACAUGCAAGUCGAACGAGACCUUCGGGUCUAGUUGCGCACGGGUGCGUAACGCGUGGGAACCUGCCCUUAGGUUCGGAAUAACUCCCCGAAAGGGGUGCUAAUACCGGAUAAUGUCUUCGGACCAAAGAUUUAUCGCCUUUGGAUGGGCCCGCGUUUGAUUAGCUAGUUUGUAGGGUAAAAGCCUACCAAGGCGACGAUACAUAGCUGGUCUGAGAGGAUGAUCAGCCACACUGGGACUGAGACACGGCCCAGACUCCUACGGGAGGCAGCAGUGGGGAAUAUUGGAAAAUGGGCGAAAGCCUGAUACAGCAAUGACGCGUGAGUGAUGAAGGCAUUAGGGUUGUAAAGCUCUUUUACCCGGGAUGAUAAUGACAGUACCGGGAGAAUAAGCACCGGCUAACUCCGUG